CUAUUGUUCGACUCCAAGUCUGAAUUCUUCGACGACUGCGGUGCGAAAUUGACUAAAUCCCCAAUUUGAUUCUUUAAUCGGCGAAAUCGACGAACUGAAGACAUGGCGGCUGAAUAAGGAUGGAAAUGGUUAUGGAUUUUUUUUAUGGAAGGAUCAAAACCUACCAAGGAGAGGAAAAUAUGAGCACGAAGACAUAAACGUCAUGGUAGUUUCUUUGAAUCGUGAAAUAGGAGGUGUGCGAGAUGUAAUUGUAAAUGACUAUAAUGAUAUUAGAAAAAGAAAACAAAAUACUAAGAAAAAAUGUUUUGUUCUCAUUAUUGUAGUUGGUGUGCUUGUAGCAAAAUUAUUGGUUUGAGAUGGUAAUACAAUGA